rnacentral:lncRNA from 1 species
UGAGAGGGGUUGCUUGUGUCUUUCCUCUUCCUGUCUCUAUUCAGCCGCUACCUUCUAAUUUUCCUAAGGAUCUCUACUCGCAGUUCCAUGUGCUAGGGUUUUCUCCUUUGCUUUUUUUUUUUAAAUCACUUUGUUUUUCUUUUUCAGGAUAACUCCAGCAGCCCCAAGAUUUAUCUUCUCCUCUUUUCUAGGCAGAUGUAUCUGGUACAAGUAGAGUUGGGCUAAAAUUGAUAUGCACUGAAUGUUGAUUGGACACCUUCCUGGUAUUGC